rnacentral:rRNA from 1 species
GUGGAUGACGUCAAGUCCUCAUGGCCCUUACGGUUGGGCUACACACGUGCUACAAUGGCAGUGACAAUGGGUUAAUCCCAAAAAGCUGUCUCAGUUCGGAUUGGGGUCUGCAACUCGACCCCAUGAAGUCGGAAUCGCUAGUAAUCGCAGAUCAGAACGCUGCGGUGAAUACGUUCUCGGGUUU